CAACCCUCAAGCCCGGCUUGGUGUUGGGGCCCCACGGCCGCCGUGGGCCCUGAAAACUAGUGGCGGGCCCGCUGAGGCUCAGAGCGCAGUAGCUUAACCUCGCUCGCGGUGCCGCGGCGGGCGUCAGCCGUAAAACCCCCCACUUUCGCAA
rnacentral:misc_RNA from 1 species